rnacentral:rRNA from 1 species
CAAUAGCGUAUAUUAAAGUUGUUGCAGUUAAAAAGCUCGUAGUUGGAUUUCUGGUUGAAGCGACCGGUCGGGCGUUGAUUCGUCUGCACUGGAGUCGGUUUUGGCCAUCCUCUAGGAAAGUGCGUCUGGUAUUAAGUUAUCGGGCGUAUGAUCCUGGUCUUUUACUGUGAAAAAAUUAGAGUGUUUAAAGCAGGCCUUCGCCUUGAAUACAUUAGCAUGGAAUAAUAAGAUAGGACUUUGGUCUAUUUUGUUGGUUUGCAGACCGAAGUAAUGAUUAAUAGGGAUAGUUGGGGGUAUUUAUAUUCCGAUGUCAGAGGUGAAAUUCUUAGAUUUUCGGAAGAUAAACUUAUGCGAAAGCAUUUACCAAGGGUGUUUUCAUUAA